CACAAAACUGAAAGAAGAAAGGUUUCUUGAUUGUGUGAGUGUUUAAUUUAAACCAGUUUUGUUUUUCGGUGUUUAAUUUAAACCGGUUUUGUUUUCUUUUUCAUCAUUUUCUAUCGUGUUUUUAUUUGUAGUAUUUUCACUUUUCCUUCUGCCGAAGUCUCAUUUGAUUGUAGAACGCUGUAGUUCUUUAUUCUAAAGACAGCAAGCGGGGUCCAUCCCCAUCGGAUCCGCCUCCAAAUAAUCCAGUGCUCUUCCACUAAGAUGUAUUACUGCUCCUGGUGUGGGAAGAGUUUUACUCAUCGGAGUCAUCUCCAACGACAUGAGCGCAUUCACACAGGAGAGAAGCCGUAUCACUGCACCCAGUGUGGGAAGAGUUUUACUCGUCGGAGUCAUCUCCAAAUACACGAACGCAUUCACACAGGAGAGAAGCCGUAUCACUGCACCCAGUGUGGGAAGAGUUUUACUCAUCGGUGUACUCUCCAAAUACACGAACGCAUUCACACAGGAGAGAAGCCGUAUCACUGCACCCAGUGUGGAAAGAGUUUUACUCGUCGGAGUCAUCUCCAAAUACACGGACGCAUUCACACAGGAGAGAAGCCAUAUCACUGCACCCAGUGUGGAAAGAGUUUUACUCGUCGGAGUACUCUCCAAAUACACGAACGCAUUCACACAGGAGAGAAGCCGUAUCACUGCACCCAGUGUGGGAAGAGUUUUAGUGGUUGGAGUAAUCUCCAAAUACACAAACGCAUUCACACAGGAGCGAAGCCGUAUCACUGCACCCAGUGUGGGAAGAGUUUUACUCGUCGGAGUCAUCUCCAAAUUCACGAACGCAUUCACACAGGAGAGAAGCCGUAUCACUGCACCCAGUGUGGGAAGAGUUUUACUCGUCGGAGUCAUCUCCAAAUACACGAACGCAUUCACACAGGAGAGAAGCCAUAUCACUGCACCCAGUGUGGGAAGAGUUUUAGUGGUUGGAGUCAUCUCCAAAUACACGAACGCAUUCACACAGGAGAGAAGCCGUAUCACUGCACCCAGUGUGGGAAGAGUUUUACUCGUCGGAGUACUCUCCAAAUACACGAACGCAUUCACACAGGAGAGAAGCCGUAUCACUGCACCCAGUGUGGGAAGAGUUUUACUCGUCGGAGUCAUCUCCAAAUACACGAACGCAUUCACACAGGAGAGAAGCCAUAUCACUGCACCCAGUGUGGGAAGAGUUUUAGUGGUUGGAGUCAUCUCCAAAUACACGAACGCAUUCACACAGGAGAGAAGCCGUAUCACUGCACCCAGUGUGGGAAGAGUUUUACUCGUCGGAGUGAUCUCCAAAGACAUGAGCGCAUUCACACAGGAGAGAAGCCUUAUUACUGCUCGCAGUGUGAGAAGACAUUUACUCGUCAUAGUCAUCUCCAAAUACAUGAGCGCAUUCACACAGGAGAGAAGCCAUAUCAUUGUGAACAGUGUGAGAAAAGUUUUAUUUGUAAGAGUGAUCUCCAAAUACACGAACGCAUUCACACAGGAGAGAAGCCGUAUCACUGUGGACAGUGUGGGAAGAGUUUUACUUGUCAGAGUGCUCUCCGACAGCAUGAGCGCAUUCACACAGGAGAGAAACCAUAUCAUUGUGGACAGUGUGGGAAGAGUUUUAUUUGUCAGACUUAUCUCCAACAACACGAGAGCAUCCACACAGGAGAGAAGCCAUAUCAUUGUGGACAGUGUGGGAAGAGUUUUACUAGACAGGGUGCUCUCCGACGGCAUGAGAGCAUUCACACAGGAGAGAAACCAUAUCAUUGUGGACAGUGUGGCAGUAGUUUUUCUCGUCAGAGUACUCUCAAAAUACAUGAGCGCAUUCACACAGGAGAGAAGCCGUAUCACUGUGGACAGUGUGAGAAGAGUUUUACUAGUCAGAGUACUCUCAAUAUACACGAGCGUAUUCACACAGGACAGAAGCCGUAUUGCUGUGGACAGUGUGAGAAGAGUUUUACUAGUCAGGGUGCUCUCCGACAGCAUGAGAUCAUUCACAUAGUAGAGAAACCGUAUCAUUGUGGACAGUGUGGGAAAAGUUUCACCCGUCAGAGUGGUCUCCGACAACACGAGCGCAUCCACACAGGACAGAAGCCGUAUCACUGUGGACAGUGUGGGCGGAGCUAUGCUCAUUCAAGUUCAUUAAGGACACACAAGUGCUCGAACAUAAAGCUGUCAGAUCUUGAUGUGUGAAUUUGUCAAAUUAAGAUACAUGGUUAUUCAUUUUCAUUUUUUAAAGAGGUAAAGAGAUUCAGGCAUAAAACUGUAGUAUAUUACUUGUCAUGGACUGUAGUAUUCUGUUGCUUGGGACAUUACUUACUCUGUGGGUUUUAGCAGAAUUCAUGAUUUUAUGUUGUUUUCCCCCAAAUGCUACAAUAUCAAGCAUGGAAUACACAUUUAACCAGCGGGAAUGCCCACUUUAAUCAACCAAUGCAGACCUCUGAGUGAGACACGUGACUCGGACAUCUCCCUCUAACGAAGCAGGAUCUCAGGAACAGGCAUCAGGAAGGAAUCCUCUUUGAAUGGAACAGCAGUCCUAUGCAGGACACCAUAGACACAUUCAGUCACACACUCAUUCACACCUAGGGGGCAAUUUCUCAUAGCUAAUCCACCUACCUGAGAACCCAGAGGAAACCCACAGGAACACAGGGAGAUCAUGUGAAGCCCCACAGUAACCCAAGAUUAGGAUCUAAUCCAUAACCUUAGAGACAAUGUCUCUGCAGUACUGUCCUUCCGUAAGUGAAAAUUAAAUAACCUAAUAAUUAAUCUAAUGAAUCAAAUAAUGAAUAUAAUUAUAUACUUAAAGCCUGAAGGGUUUGAUUUCUAAAAUAGGUAUGACAUUUAUUUAAAAAAAUAAAUAAAUAAAUAACAACAUAAAUAAAAGCACACAAAGUUAAAACAAGUAAAAAAACAAACUGAUUCCUCUAUAUUCAAUAUCACGACAUUAAAUGGGUUUCUUUUUGAGUCUGGUUCCUAAGAGUUUCUUCCUCAUGUCCUCUCGGGGGGGGGGGGGUGUUUCUCUCCAUGGUAACCUGUGGGUUGCUCAUUUGGGAUAAAUUUAAAUCUAUAUCUAGAUUUCUGUAAAGCUGCUUUGUGUCAACCUUCAUUGUUAAAAUUUAUAUAAAUAAAAUGGAGUAGUCCAAUUCUCAAAAUAAGGAGUUCAUUGGGAGCAAAUAGGACUGUAAAAGGGCUUUUUACAUAUACAGUACCUUUAUAUAUGGUGUAUUUUUGGCCUUUAUAAUAUGGGAAAAUCCAGGCAACUUAGACCUCAGAAAGCAUUUUGUGGACCUCCACAAGUCCACUUUCACCCUAGGAGCAUGUUUCAAUAUAGUACUACACUAUAGAUAUUAGUAAUACUGCUAUUUAGUACAAUAUGAGAUUUGGGACACUGAUAUGACAAAACAUAACAAGUCAAGCCUUUUGUAAGAUAAAAACAUUGACGGUAAUAUGUUAAUUUCAGAAGGUAAUCUCCGUAGAUUGAGAUUGACUCAACACGCCCAGGUAUGAUUCAUACCUGGUGAUUCAUACUGCUUAUAUUUCCUCAUUUGUAAGUUGCUUUGCAUAAAGUGUCUGCUAAAUGAAUAAAUGUAAUUGUAAAUGAAAUUAAGACACACAGGUGGAUCCCUCCUCCUUUUACAGUGCAAUAUAUAGUGAGUGUCACCACUCCACAUCGUAUUGCAUACAUCACCACGGGAAAACGAGAUUCUCUUUGCUCUUUGUCAGACAUCUUUAGGUAAGUAAUUUCAAACAAUUUACACUGGGUGAAAUAAGUAUUGAAGGCGUCAACAUUUUUUCAGUAAAUAAAGUCUAUAAAAAAUUUACGUGUAAUAAAGUGGAAUAUCACGGGAAAAAAAGUAUUGAACACGUGUAAAAGCAGUUCUCCAAGGCAAGGUAAGGCAAGAAACCAACUGAAAUCCAUAAGUAAUUACACCCCCUAUCUGUGUAAAUGAAUAUCAGCGGGGUUAGUAAAUUAAUGGUCUAUAAAAAGGCUUUUCGUUACCAAGGUGUCACACAAGAAACAUCUCAUGAUGGGUAAAAGCAAAGAGCUCUCCCAAGACCUUCACAACCUUAUUGUUGUGAAACAUAUUGAUGGAAUUGAAUACAGACGUAUUUCAAAACUUCUGAAUCCUCCACUAAGCACCAUUGGGGCCGUUAUCCACAAGUGGAAGCAACAUCACUCCGUCAUCAACCGGCCAUGCACAGGAGCUCCUCACAAGGUUUCUCCCAGGGAGUCAGAAGAGCAGCCCAAGAACCAAGGACCAAGAGCUCCAGAAACACUUGGAGGCAGCAGGUACCAUCGUCACAGAGAAAACAAUAGGCGAUGCACUCCACUGCUCACGCUCACCCGCAAGACUCCAUUACUAAAGAAAAGGCAUCUCGAACCUCGUUUAAAGUUUGCUACGACUCAUUUGGAUGAGCUGAUGAAAUACUGGGAGAGUGUAGUCUGGUCAGACGAGAGCAAAACUGAACUUUUUGUCUGUCAUACUACACACCAUGUUUGGAGAAGAAAUGGCACUGCACAUCACCCUAAAAACACUACACCAACAGUGAAGUUUGGAGGUGAAACAUCAUGGUGUGGGGCUGUUUUUCAUCACAUGGUACUGGCAGACUUCAUAUAACUGAAGGAAUGAUGAAUGGAGAUCUUUACCGGGAGAUUCUUGAAAAGAAUCUUGAAAUCUUGAAAACAAGAACAUUCUGGAGGAGGUAGAUGUAUCAUUGUCAAAUUCUAUAACCAAGAAACACCUUCAUGAAUAUAAAUAGAGACGGUUUACCUCAAGAUGCAAACCAUUGGUAACACUCAAGAACAGAAAUGCCAGAUUAGACUUUACUAAUAAAAGUCUUAAAUAAAUAAAUAAACAAAAAAAGAAGAAAAGAAACAAGCCUGCCAAGUUCUGAUGCAAUGGGAAGAUAAGUAUAUGGAGAAGAAAAGGAAGGCUGAUGUUCCAAAGCAUACCACAUCAUCUGUCAAACAUGGUGGAGUAGUUGUUAUAGUAUUGGAAUGCAUGGCUGUCAGUGGAACUGGGUCAACGGUGUUUAUUGAUGAUGUGACUGCUGAAAGAAGGAGCAGGAUGAAGUCUGAAGUGUAUAGAUCUAUACUUUCUGCUCAGAUUCAGUCAAAUGCAGCAAAACUGAUAGGAUAGUACAGAUGGAUAACGACCCAAAACAUACAGUGAAAGCAAACCAAGAGGUUCUUAAGGAAAAUAAAUUAAAUGUUCUAAAAUGUCCAAGUCAGUCACCUGACCCCAUCCCAAUUACGCUGCUUUUCACUUCCUGAAGACAAAACAGAAGGCAGAAAGACUCACAAACAGGCAGCAACCGAACACAGCUGCAGUAAAAGCCUGGCAAAGCAUCUCAAGAGAGGACACUCAGCAUUUGUUGAUGUCCAUUUCAGGCAAGACUCUGCAGAGGAUUUACGGUUGGCUGUGUCUCAGGUGGUAGAGCGGGAUGUCCACUAAUCAUUGGCGGUUAGAUUCCCGGCCCACAUGACUCCACAUGCCGAAGUGUCCUUAGGCAAUACACUGAACCCCAAGUUGCUCCCAAUGGCAAGUGAGAGCCUUGCAUGCAGCUCAGCUACCAUUGCGGUGUGUGAGUGUGAAUGGGUGAAUGAGAUACAGUGUUAAGCACCUUGGAUAAAAGUGUGCCAUUUACCAAUUACAUCCAAGUAUUAAAAAUAAUCCUAAUAUUUAUGAUUAUGUUAGUUUGUCCAAUUACUUUUGAGCUGACGAAAAUGGAGAGACUCUGUAAAAUAAUGGCUGUAAUUCUUAAACAGGUAAUGCAAUAUUUUUGUUAAACCCCUUGAAUUAAAGCUGAAAGUCGACACUUUAAUCACAUCUUGAUUUCUUAAUUUCUUCACCACUGUGGUGGUGUACAGAGGCAACAUUAUAUAAAUCUUGCUGCUGUCCAAAUACUUAUGGACCUUACUGUUUUGACAAUAAUUGACAGUAUAUUACACAAACAUACAGCAGUACUUAGUAAAAAGUACAGCAAUUACACUAAAUAUACUACAGAUGAAGAGACUAUAGUUAUUUACUUUAAAUUUAUUCCACUGGAAACUUUGCUGCCAAUAAAUGAUUACAAAUUUUACAGUAUUAAUUUACAGUGAGCCCAAAAACAAAUUUUAAGGGCCAUGGCUAGUGUGGUGAAAGGUGUUAAUUCAAUUACUGGGACGUUCUUUAACAAGACAGGUUAGUGUAGUAUAGGGAUGUCAAUGUGAUGGGAUGCCGUGCCCUGAUCAUUUCACUGACCGAUUUACUUUCGCACAAAAAAAUAGUCCACCUCCUAUUCAUAUCUGCAUUUGUAUUUGUUUAGAAAGAAUUAUCUUUUCAUUUGGGAUAAUGUACAUUCAAGUGACCCUCUUCAUUCUUUUUUACUCUGACAGUUGGGAAUGCAAGCUGAGUGCUGACUAGUGGUGCCAAAAGAUUAUUAUUACUCUCUGCAUGCUAGAAAGCAGUCUGUCCAAAACUAUGCUGAGACCAAGACAUUCACUGGACUAAACCCAACAGAACCAGAUGGAAAGCGACACUGAAACACAGAGACGAGUUCGUACUCAGCU